rnacentral:rRNA from 1 species
UACGAAGGGGGCUAGCGUUGCUCGGAAUCACUGGGCGUAAAGGGUGCGUAGGCGGGUCUUUAAGUCAGGGGUGAAAUCCUGGAGCUCAACUCCAGAACUGCCUUUGAUACUGAAGAUCUUGAGUUCGGGAGAGGUGAGUGGAACUGCGAGUGUAGAGGUGAAAUUCGUAGAUAUUCGCAAGAACACCAGUGGCGAAGGCGGCUCACUGGCCCGAUACUGACGCUGAGGCACGAAAGCGUGGGGAGCAAACAAGG